rnacentral:rRNA from 1 species
UUUAAAGCAAUUAAGGGCGUAUGGUGGAUGCCUAGGGUCUGAGAGGCGAUGAAGGACGUGGUAAGCUGCGAUAAGCUUCGGGGAGCUGCACACAAGCGUAACAUCCGAAGAUUUCCGAAUGGGACAACCUAAUAUAUUGAAGAUAUAUUACCCCCACAGCAAUGUGAGGGAGCCAACCCGCUGAACUGAAACAUCUAAGUAGGCGGAGGAAAAUAAAAUAACAAUGAUUCCCUGAGUAGUGGCGAGCGAAACGGGAAGAGCCCAAACCAUGGCGGCGUGCUGCCGUGGGGUUGUAGGACUGCAUUUAGAAACUGUUAUCAAGCUGAAUUUUCUGGAAAGUUAAAUCAAAGAGGGUGAUAAUCCCGUAAGCAGAAAUUAACAGGGACGAGCAGUAUCCUGAGUAAGGCGGGACCGGAGAAAUCCUGCCUGAAUCUGCCGGCACCAUCCGGUAAGGCUAAAUACUCCUCAGACACCGAUAGUGAACCAGUACCGUAAGGGAAAGGUGAAAAGUACCCUAAACAAGGGAGUGAAAUAGUACCUGAAACCGUACGCCUACAAGCGGUCGGAGUCUCCACAGCAAUGUGAGGGAUGACGGCGUGCCUUUUGCAUAAUGAGCCUACGAGUUACUCCUCACUGGCGAGGUUAAGUUCUUAAGUAACGGAGCCGUAGCGAAAGCGAGUCCAAAUAGGGCGUUUAGUCAGUGGGGGUAGACGCGAAACUUUGUGAUCUAUCCAUGGGCAGGUUGAAGGUGUGGUAACACACACUGGAGGACCGAACCCGUUGACGUUGAAAAGUCUUGGGAUGACCUGUGGAUAGGGGUGAAAGGCCAAUCAAACUGAGAGAUAGCUCGUUCUCCCCGAAAUGUUUUUAGGAACAGCCUCGGAUGCCUACCAAACCCUGACAAACUCCGAAUGCUAGUACAUAUCUCCGGGAGUGAGGCUGUGGGCGAUAAGGUCCAUGGCCGAGAGGGAAAUAACCCAGAUUAGCAACUAAGGUCCCUAAUACAUGGUUAAGUUGAUCAAACGAGGUGGAGUUUCUAUAACAGCCAGGAUGUUGGCUUGGAAGCAGCCACUCAUUUAAAGAGUGCGUAACAGCUCACUGGUCGAGAGACUCUGCACGGAAAAUAAUCGGGCAUCAAACCAUGAACCGAAGUUCUAAAUUGUACAUUUUAUGUACAGUGGUAGGGGAGCAUUGAAAUCUGCAGCGAAGGUGUGUGGUGAUGCAUGCUGGAGCGAUUUCAAAAGAAAAUGUAGGCAUAAGUAACGAUAAAAAAGGUGAAAAACCUUUUCGCCGUAAACCCAAGGUUUCCUGAUCAAUGUUAAUCAGAUCAGGGUUAGUCGGGUCCUUAGGCGAACCCGAAAGGGGUAGCUGAUGGCAAGUUGGUUAAUAUUCCAACACCUGCUUUAAAUUCGAUGGAGUGACGGGGUAGUGAAAGAUCCGCCUGGUGAUGGAAUACCAGGUUAAAGGGUGUAGUUAUAUUUUUUACAGGCAAAUCCGUAAGAAAUGGCGAACCUGAUAGUACAGCAAAGCUUCGGCAGCGCUGAUAGUGAUCCUAAUCAGACCUCCGAGAAAAACUUCUAAGUUAUGUUUAAAGCAGCCCGUACCGCAAACCGACACAGGUGGGUGGGAUGAAUAUUCUAAGGCGCUCGGGUGAGCCGUGGAGAAGGAACUAGGCAAAUUGAUGCUGUAACUUCGGGAUAAAGCAUACCCCCCUCAGCAAUGAGUGGGGGUCUCAGUAAAAUGGUUCAACCAACUGUUUAGCAAAAACACAGGGCCCUGCAAAAUCGAAAGAUGACGUAUAGAGCCUGAUACCUGCCCGGUGCUGGAAGGUUAAGGAAGGAUGUUCGUCUUUACGCAAGUAGAGACAAAGCUUCUGACUGAAGCCCCAGUAAACGGCGGCCGUAACUAUAACGGUCCUAAGGUAGCGAAAUUCCUUGUCGGGUAAGUUCCGACCUGCACGAAUGGUCUAAUGAGUUGAACACUGUCUCCUCCACGAGCCCGGUGAAAUUGUAGUUUUGAAUUUUUGAUGUGUAGGAUAGUUGGGAGACUUUGAAGUUGUGUCGCCAGGCAUGAUGGAGUCAACGUUGAAAUACCAACCUUUAAACAUUUAGAAUCUAAUCCCUUGCGGGAAACAGUGCAUGGUGGGUAGUUUGACUGGGGUGGUCGCCUCCUAAAAAGUAACGGAGGCUUGCAAAGGUUCCCUCAGUACGGUUGGUAAUCGUACAUAGAGCGUAUUAGUAUAAGGGAGCUUGACUGUGAGACUAACAAGUCGAGCAGGGACGAAAGUCGGCUAAAGUGAUCCGGCGGUUCUGUAUGGAAGGGCCGUCGCUCAAAGGAUAAAAGGUACUCUGGGGAUAACAGGCUGAUCUCCCCCAAGAGCUCAUAUCGACGGGGAGGUUUGGCACCUCGAUGUCGGUUCGUCACAUCCUGGGGCUGGAGAAGGUCCCAAGGGUUCGGCUGUUCGCCGAUUAAAGUGGCACGUGAACUGGGUUCAGAACGACAGCAAGGAUAAACGCUGAAAGCAUCUAAGCGUGAAACCUUCCUCAAGAUGAGUUUACUUUUAAGGGUCGUCAGAGACUAUGACGUUGAUAGGCUAUAGGUAUAAAGGUGGUAACAUCAAAGCCAAGUAGUACUAAUUGCCCGUAAGCUUUAUUUU